rnacentral:rRNA from 1 species
UACAUAGGUCUCAAGCGUUGUUCGGAUUCAUUGGGCGUAAAGGGCGCGUAGGCGGCUCGGUACGUCGGGUGUGAAAUCUCGGAGCUUAACUCCGAAACUGCAUUCGAUACUGCCGUGCUUGAGGUCUGGAGAGGAGACUGGAAUUUACGGUGUAGCGGUGAAAUGCGUAGAUAUCGUAAGGAAGACCAGUGGCGAAGGCGGGUCUCUGGGCAGUACCUGACGCUGAGGCGCGAAGGUCAGGGGAGCAAACGGG